UACGGAGGGAGCUAGCGUUGUUCGGAAUUACUGGGCGUAAAGCGCGCGUAGGCGGCUUUGUAAGUUAGAGGUGAAAGCCCGGGGGCUCAACCCCCGGGAACUGCCUUUAAAACUGCAUCGCUUGAAUCCGGGAGAGGUGAGUGGAAUUCCGAGUGUAGAGGUGAAAUUCGUAGAUAUUCGGAAGAACACCAGUGGCGAAGGCGGCUCACUGGACCGGUAUUGACGCUGAGGUGCGAAAGCGUGGGGAGCAAACAGG
rnacentral:rRNA from 1 species